ensembl:lncRNA
GUUAAAGUAGUGGGAUGGUGUUGGAUCCUUUUAGGUUAAAGUAGGAUCCUUUAGGGAAAGUAGUGGGAUGGUGUAGGAUCCUUUAGGGUUAAAGUAGUGGGAUGGUGUAGGAUCCUUUAGGUUAAAGUAGUGGGAUGGUGUUGGAUCCUUUAGGGUUAAAGUAGUGGGAUGGGAUGGUGUUGGAUCCUUUAGGGUUAAAGUAGUGGGAUGGUGUAGGAUCCUUUAGGGUUAAAGUAGUGGGAUGGUGUUGGAUCCUUUAGGGUUAAAGUAGUGGGAUGGGAUGGUGUUGGAUCCUUUAGGGUUAAAGUAGUGGGAUGGUGUAGGAACUAUAGGGUUAAAGUAGUGGGAUGGGAUGGUGUAGGAUCCUUUAGGGUUAAAGUAGUGGGAUGGUGUAGGAUCCUUUAGGGUUAAAGUAGUGGGAUGGUGUUGGAUCCUUUAGGGUUAAAGUAGUGGGAUGGUGUAGGAUCCUUUAGGGUUAAAGUAGUGGGCUGGGAUGGAUCCUUUAGGGUUAAAGUAGUGGGAUGGGGUGGUGGGUUUGAGGGGAUAGUGUAUAGCUGCAGGGUUAGAUGGUGGUGCAAUUUAAAUUUUUCCUCAUUCCCGUUUUUUGGGGGAGACCAAAAUAUGCCGAAACUGACCUCUGACCUGGGAAAGGCAGC